UUGUUUCGAUGUAUAACUGUUUCACUUACUCAUUUCCAGAGAGAACACUGACAGAAGGCUGAAAGUCCCUGCCUCGUCAUGUUCCCUGAACAUUCACUACCGGGUGGUUUAGGAUUGUACACAGAAGAACUGCAGCACUCGAAUCUGUAGCUCAGGAACCUAAAAGAUUUAUCUGAAGAUUUCGGAACUCUCAGGCGUUUUGAGGCCGUGUGAUGGAGGUGGAAGUGGCACGAGAGCUGAUAUCCCUCCUUCUCACUCAGGGACUCUUCUUGUUAGCUGGAGACAGAGUGAGUAAUUCAAUAAGUCAAGAAUUCAUUUAUUGCUUUCCUUUUCAAUCAUGGGGCAUUUUUGUUGUCUUUUUUACUUCCCCCAUCCACCUCCACACCAAGAUAAAAAAAAGUGAUACGAGUUGUGCAACUUCCAUCUGUGGCAGCCCUCGUUGUCUUACUGCAGCUUAAUUACAAAAUAUCGGCGCCGUUUUCUGUAAAGAUUACUCACUGUAGGAGGCCCUACAUAAUUUGGACCGGAGGGUUUGUCACAGAAAAUAAUACAAUGCAACUGGGCUUUCUGUAUUAGAUUUCCAGUUUUAGCCUCCUUGACAUUUCAAGCUGCAUGAACUAAUACAUCUGUUAUUUGUUGAUCAUUUGAUUAUUAACAUACUUCACAAACCAAAUCAGCUGCCCUGCUGGAGACACAGAUACAGCUCAGCAGACAGCGUCUGCCACGCACAAACACACUCACGAGAGAUGUACAAUUCAGCC